rnacentral:rRNA from 1 species
UACGAAGGGGGCUAGCGUUGCUCGGAAUCACUGGGCGCAAAGCGCACGUAGGCGGCUUUUUAAGUCAGGGGUGAAAUCCUGGAGCUCAACUCCAGAACUGCCUUUGAUACUGAGAAGCUUGAGUCCGGGAGAGGUGAGUGGAACUGCGAGUGUAGAGGUGAAAUUCGUAGAUAUUCGCAAGAACACCAGUGGCGAAGGCGGCUCACUGGCCCGGUACUGACGCUGAGGUGCGAAAGCGUGGGGAGCAAACAGG